AUUGAACGCUGGCGGCAGGCCUAACACAUGCAAGUCGAACGAGUGGCGGACGGGUGAGUAAUGUCUGGGAAAAUGCUUGAUGGAGGGGGAUAACUAAUGGAAACGGUAGCUAAUACCGCAUACCAUCGGUUGUGCAAAGAUGGGAUUAGCUAGUAGGUGGGGUAACGGCUCACAUUGGCGACGAUCCCUAGCUGGUCUGACAGGAGUACCGGCCACACUGGCACUGAGACACGGUCCAGACUCCUACGGGAGGCAGCAGUGGGGCAUAUUGCACAAUGGGCGCAAGCCUGAUGCAGCCAUGCCGCGUGUAUGAAGAAGGCCUUCGGGUUGUAAAGUACUUUCAGCGGGGAGGCGUUACCCGCAGAAGAAGCACCGGCUAACUCCGUGCCAGCAGCCGCGGUAAUAC
rnacentral:rRNA from 1 species